GCCAGCAGCCAUAUCACCCUGCAACUCACAACUGGCAACCCACUGAAGCUAAGCAGGUGUGAGCCUGGUCAGUAACUGCAUGGGAGACCUCCUGGGAAAAACUAAGGUUGCUGCUGGAA
ensembl:rRNA 5S_rRNA 5S ribosomal RNA